rnacentral:rRNA from 1 species
UACGAAGGGGGCUAGCGUUGCUCGGAAUCACUGGGCGUAAAGCGCACGUAGGCGGAUUGUUAAGUUAGGGGUGAAAUCCCAGGGCUCAACCCUGGAACUGCCUCUAAUACUGGCAAUCUCGAGUCCGAGAGAGGUGAGUGGAAUUCCGAGUGUAGAGGUGAAAUUCGUAGAUAUUCGGAGGAACACCAGUGGCGAAGGCGGCUCACUGGUCCAUUACUGACGCUGAGGUGCGAAAGCGUGGGAG